rnacentral:rRNA from 1 species
CAGUCGCCGCGGUAAGACAGAGGAUGCAAGCGUUAUCUGGAAUGAUUGGGCGUAAAGCGCCUGUAGGUGGCUUUUCAAGUCCGCCGUCAAAUCUCAGGGCUCAACCCUGGACAGGCGGUGGAAACUACCAAGCUGGAGUACGGUAGGGGCAGAGGGAAUUUCCGGUGGAGCGGUGAAAUGCGUAGAGAUGUGGAGGAACACCAGUGGCGAAGGCGACUCUCUGGUCUGUAACUGACGCUGAGGAGCGAAAGCGUGGGGAGCGAACAGGAUUAGAGACCCCGGUAGUCCCUGUCUCUUAUAC